UCUAUAUUAAUAAUUUCGUCAAGGGGUACGGUAGACUGGAUCGAAACCUUAUAUGAAUAACAAAGCAUAAAAAAAUAUCGAUUUUGAGUCGACAACAUAUAUCCGCAAAAUUCGGAUAAUGGAGAAUUUCGUUAAAUUCCGAUGGCACUGACAAACAAUUUCAAACAAACCGCUGUCGCCAUCUUUAGUAGUUCACUAUCCACUCACUAUGCGAUCAGCGCCAAAACCUUACUACCUCUUUGCUGGGUUGUCAUCGAUCCAUAAAUAAAUGGAGAUCAGUGCGUUUCGCGAUUUUUAUGAUACACUCUUUGUUAUGUGUUUUUUCUUUUAACCUUAUAUUGGCCGAUUCAACCACAGAAAAAGAAUAUUAGCCAUAACCAUAAAAGUUGAAGUUCAAAUGUCAAUGUCAUUUAGUUUCGCACAGUGAUAAAUUCCAGUGACAUGCAAUUUUUGUAAUGGUAAAAUAUUUGUAAGAAACUGCAAACAAAUGCAAAUGUGCAGUCGAUGUGUGGAAUGCGACAACAUUAUGCUCGGUAAGCGGCUUAUUUUUUUUUUAUUUAACCCGAAAAAUAAUAAUAAAUGACCACAUGCAUAGCCUGUGUUGAGUUGUUAUCAACAUAAAUACAGAAACAGACACGAUUUUUGCACCGUUUUUUCUGAUAACCGAAUAGACUCCUUCAUGCGCAAGUUCCACUUGAGCUCGGCUGGUUCUUAUUAUAAAUAAUUUUGUAAUAUAUUUUUGCAGAUAAUUUCAAUUAUUGCGAGUGUUGUGGCUUAGAAACAAUUAGGCAGUUAAGAAUAAACAAGGCUCGGGCACUAUCAAACCUUUUUCCUAAAAAGCAAAAAGCUGCUUCUGCUGCAUCACAAGAUUUAUUUGAUGACUUUCAGGUUGAUAACGAAGAGUUGACGCUAAUCGAGGAUUCAUUGAUGAUUGAUGAUGCUUCUUCGGACAACAAGAAAAAACAGCUACUGUCAGUCAGCAGUGAUGAUGCUUCUUCGGACAACAAGGAAAAACAGCUGCUGUCAGUCAGCAGUGAUUUUAUUUCUUUAGAAGAAGAAGAGAAAGAAAAUAUAUCAAAUGGCGGGCAGACCCCCGAAAAAACGUAAAUAUUCAAGCAGGUUUAGUACAGAAUAUCAGCCCCCCAGGACUAACUAUUUAUAUUUAGCACUUUCAAAUAACACCAUUCAAGU